GGGGGUGUAGCUUAGUCCGGUUUAAAGCAGUCGCCUGUCGAGCUUUCAUACCGUGGGUUCAAAUCCCAUCAUCCCCG
rnacentral:tRNA from 1 species